rnacentral:rRNA from 1 species
UGGGGAAUAUUGCACAAUGGGCGCAAGCCUGAUGCAGCCAUGCCGCGUGUAUGAAGAAGGCCUUCGGGUUGUAAAGUACUUUCAGCGGGGAGGAAGGGAGUAAAGUUAAUACCUUUGCUCAUUGAUGUUACCCGCAGAAGAAGCACCGGCUAACUCCGUGCCAGCAGCCGCGGUAAUACGGAGGGUGCAAGCGUUAAUCGGAAUUACUGGGCGUAAAGCGCACGCAGGCGGUUUGUUAAGUCAGAUGUGAAAUCCUCGGGCUCAACCUGGGAACUGCAUCUGAUACUGGCAAGCUUGAGUCUCGUAGAGGGGGGUAGAAUUCCAGGUGUAGCGGUGAAAUGCGUAGAGAUCUGGAGGAAUACCGGUGGCGAAGGCGGCCCCCUGGACGAAGACUGACGCUCAGGUGCGAAAGCGUGGGGAGCAAACAGG